rnacentral:lncRNA from 1 species
GCCUGCAUAGUUUGCAAAAUCUUGGUGUGUGGGUAAUUUUGCCAGAGUGGUAUGCAGUCAACGUUGUUUUCAUACGUGGGCGACACUGUGGAAGGACGUCGUGCUACGUGUUUCGCAGCGCAGCUGUUUCUGAUCCGUGGCACUUUCUGUGUAACAUAUACUUGACAUAUUUCAACUUGUGGAUGCAAAGUUAAAUCGUGCAUUUGUAUGCAACAUACUUAUACUGUAUCUGACGUACUGUGUUUCGGUAGGAAGUGAAAAUGGUGCGUUGUGGCUGCAUCACUCUAUUCGUUUGGUGUCAAAUAGGUUCAGAUAUCCAGUGCCUUCCACGUAACGAACACAUUGCAUUUUGUGACAUAAGGUACAACAUAAUGUUAUGUGUUGAAUCACCUGAUGUGGACCUGCAUAUUUCACAAGGGACAAACUAUUUUUUGGGGGGUCACAAAUGCAGGCUGCAAAUGAAGUGUAACCUCCGUAGCGUUGCCUGCUAUGUAUAGAAUGGAGUUAGAGUCGAGCGAAACAUUGUGCAUAGCCACGUCCCGUGCUCGCUAUCUUUCGAGGAAUCUGAGGUCAUGUAGGUCAUACCGUAGCAGAGAAAAGCAUUACAGUUGAAUGCGAUGCCGAGCAUUCCUUGUUUUGCACCAUUCUUGUUCGGGCCAGGCCAACGCACCACCCUUGGGUGUCUGUGCAGCAUAUUGUAUUUCGAGAGAGUAGAAAGCAAGGGCCAUGUUUUCGGUCUACCAAUUUUGAGGAUAUCGCUUUCACCGCACACUCGUCGCAUUAGCCAGGGAAUGCGUUUUCCGUGGCUCCGAUGAGGCGUUGUGUUGGACACAAGUGUCGCGCACAAGUAACUUGACCGACAACACAACCCCAGAGUGCGUCCCUUGAACCUUUUCGAAGGACGAAACCUGUGGUGACACAGCGCCUUUUAGCAAGAGCAGGUCGAGGGGGGCCUUUCAACUUUUGGUUUUUGUAAAACUGCGCUGCAGAAUUCCCGCACAGAAAGUGUAAUUCUGCGUGCAGCUUCCUCAAGCACAUUAGUGCUGCGAAAACUGAGCUAGGAAAGGUUUGCGUGAAACUACUGUUACACUUGCCUUGGUCUUUGUCAGGAGGUUUUAUCAUAGUGCCCUGCACAGCGAACAGAGCCUAGCUAAACAAUUUUUGCACGUGGAUGUCGAGCGCAAUUGCCAUUCCAGCACAAAAGCUUUUAAGUUUCUGUAGAACUUCUUGCCACCCUUUAACGCGUUAUUCCGUUGGCAUAACUUCUGCUCGUGGGGAGGGGAAAAGUGACCGACCACAAAAUGGGCGGUUGGAAAAUUCCAACUGUUAUCCUGCUGUGCAGCCUCGCUUGUUGAUGAGCUUGGCUUGUACCUAGGCCUUUCCUUCGAGCUUAGUUGACAAAGUGCAUUCCAAGUAGCCUAUUGUGUGUAAAUGAGGGCCGGGCAUGCAUCUGUCUCCUCUGAAGGAAGCCCGCAGUAUCAAGGUUCAUUGUGCGAGUGAGUGUUCAUAUUGUCCUGCAGCUGAGUAUGUGUGCAUGCUUCUACACAGCCUAGGCAGUUUGCUGUGCGUUAUUUCACUGACAGAUGUUUUUUUACUGGCAGCUUUGUUCUAAAAUGAGAGGGGAAAGAUGUGGCCAAGCGUACUGUUUACAUUCGGACGUUCAAAUUACACUAAACAUUCUCCAAAGUUCCCUUGUAAAAGAAAUGUAAAAGAGAA